rfam:Prunus persica cultivar Lovell chromosome G6, whole genome shotgun sequence.
UGGAAGAAUCUGUUAAGCUCAGGAGGGAUAGCGCCAUUCUUGGUUUGGUUUUAGACCAUGUAUUGCGCUAUCCAUCCUGAGUUUCAUGGCUUCCUCUU